rnacentral:lncRNA from 1 species
AGAAACUACAGCUUUGUUUUCUGAGGUAUGUACUGCAUCCAUAAUGCUUCUCUUAGCAGUUUUAAAUUAUCCAAAUCAUAUCAAAUCACAAAGAAACAGAAUAAGAUUUUGCUUUUUCCUCUUAUGCUUUCCUGGUAUUUGAUUCAAGGAAAAUAUAACUAAUCCCAAAACCAAGAAUUCAAAUGGAUUGCAGGUGGUUAAUGCUUGAGGCUGGAAGUUCGGAUUUAAAGCAUAUACUAAGGGAAGCUAACAAGGUAGCGGAUGAUUAGCAAUGCAUGGAAGUAAUUUGGAAGUUUUUGAAAGCUUAAAUGUUCUAUGAUGUACCCUUUUUCUUGCUUUAUCACCUUAUGAAAAUGAUUGACUAUGUACUAUGUAUCCUAGACAAAUCAAACUGUG